AGUUGCUGCAGUUAAAAGCUCGUAGUUGAAUUUCUGUUUGUAAGAGUCGAAGCUUUACAGCUAAGAUUUCUUCGAACAUCUGUUUGCAAGCAUACGUUCGGCCUUCACUGGUUGGCUAUGUAAGCAAGCGUUUUACCUUGAGAAAAUUAGAGUGUUCCAGGCAGGCUUCAGCCGGAAUACAUUAGCAUGGAAUAAUGGAAUAGGACUGGGGACUAUUUAUUGGUUUGAGGCUCCAGUAAUGAUUAAUAGGAACAGUCGGGGGCAUUGGUACUUAACAGUCAGAGGUGAAAUUCUUGGAUUUGUUAAAAGACUAACUAAUGCGAAAGCAUUUGCCAAGCAUGUUUUCAUUAAUCAAGAACGAAAGUUAGGGGAUCAAAGACGAUUAGAUACCGUCCUAGUCUUAACUGUAAACGAUUCCAUCUUAGAAUUGGGUGAAUAUUUGAUGAUUCAUCCAGCGCUAUAAGAGAAAUCAAAGUCUUUGGGUUCUUGGUGGAGUACGAUCGCAAG
rnacentral:rRNA from 1 species